GAACCCCAGGCUGCCAAAGCGGAGCACACGAAUGUAACCACUGCGCCACUGGGCUGACCCCACGGUCUUUCUUAUAGUCUGGUAGGAACAUUGUCGCGCAGAAACAGUAUUUAAGCACUAUCUUAUUGAGAGACACGUGGGUUGUUUCCAGUCCCUUUGUGUGAGAAGCAAUGCUGUCAGUCACCUUGUUUCUAUGUCAUUUUGCACACGUGAGGAUAUCUUGAGGGUGAAUUCCUGGAAGUCAGAUUUCUGGAAUGGAAGGUUUGUGCAUUUGUAGUGUGGUGGAUAUUGCUGGACAGCUGUCCGUGGAGGUGGUGCCAGGUUACACUCCCAGCAGGAGUGUCAGAGAGCACGUGUUUCCUCACACGCACACACACAGAAUGUGGCCGGACUCCUGCUUUGCCAGUCUAAGGGGUGAGGGACAUCUCGUGGUAGGGUUUUAAAUUUCUCUUCAGUAGAAACACCUUCUCACAUGUUCGAGAGCCAUCCGUAUUCCCGUUUCUCUGCACUGGCUCGUUAUAUCCGUUGCCCGUUUGUCUACUGAAUGAGUGGUCUUUCGUUAUUGCUUUGCAGGAGCCCUUUAUAUACUAAGGAAAUGGGUCCUUUGUAGGGAAGUUUCAGUUACUUGUUCCCCAAGUGUUGUCUUUCUUUUAAACCUUGCUCAUGGAAGUGUUUGCUGUUUGAGAUUUUUUAUGUAGACAGAAUGAACACGCUUUUAUUUUAUGGCUUCGGAACUUUGUGUGAAGUGGGGAAGCUGGAUGAGAGCCCACUCAGGAAUAAGGCCCAGGGGGAUCGUAGUAAUCGCCAUAUCACUGAGGAUGGUAAUGUGAAUCAGAGGUGCCUCUUAGGAAUUUAUACAGCUCCAUGACCUUCACAAUUCCCCAGAUUGAUUCUUUGUGUUGUCUUCUGUCUGUCUCCCCAGAGUGAGUCAAAGCAAAACCCUCACCGUGCAGAGGGCCCUUGUGCUUGUCUUGAACAGGAGAAUGGAGCACAGGGGGAACAAGAGUCAAUCUGAUGGGACGAAGAAUCCCAGCGUGGGAGCAGUUUUCAGAAAAGAGAGCAUCCUGGACCUGCCUGAGGGAAGGACAAGGAAGAAAGUGCUAGAGAAAUGGGGAUGGGCACUUUCCACCUGGUAGGACAUCCUGCCACACAGCGAUGAUGCAGGACAGCUGCUCAGAACCAGCGCCAGGCAGUGCUGAUAAGGUCCCUGUGUAGUGAGAAGGCGCCUCUACAAUAGCUUGACCACAUGGUACUUCUAAUUUGGAUGACACUGCUUGAGGACACAGGUCAGUCACGUUAGGAAGCAGAUGGCCUGAGUCUGAAGCAGUUGACUAAAGGUCUGAAGCCCAGUUAACAAGUGUUGCUGAGUCCCUGACCCCACUCCGUCCUUCUCGUUCCUUUUUGUCUUUCUACUCCUUCCUCCUUUCUUCAUCAAAGUCCAGUGUUCAAAGCCAAAUGAUAUCUUAGCCUUGUUUCUCAAUUUUUCUGUUAAAACUCAUAGAACAUUGCAUUUGUGAGUAAUCUUUUAAGUGUUUCUGACUGUAGGUGUGUGCUCAUGGUCCUUGAAUCAGCAGGUGGCAAUAAACCGUUCCCGGGGUCCCCCAGACACUGGAGCUCUGGACCUGGGAUACCCAUUUGCAUCGCUUCCACUCUGCAGCCUGUUCAACACCAGCAGGUCUGUCACCUUCCUCUCUUCCUGGUCACUUGUGCGCCCUUUGAAGCCCAAGGCUUCCUCUCAUUGGCACGUGACUCUCCAUCUGACCUCCUUUCCUAGCAUCUCAUUGAUUCCCUCUCCACUUGACUGCAGACUUCUUUCUCACAGCUCCCCCACGAGCUCCUCUGUCCCCUCCUGCCCGGCCCCACUGCCACCCUCUGAGUUCAGUCCUCCUCCGUCUCCUGCCUGGACUGGAGAAGUACCCUAACCACUGUCCUCUGCCUCAGUCCAACUCCCAUGUGGCUGCUGCAGUGACGUUUCUAAGUGCUCAUGGGAGGGUCAGGGGAGCUCUUCCUUUUAAGCAACUCUAUCUUGUUUGCAAGUUUCAAAACAGGCGUGUAGCACCUUUAUCACUAAAAAGUACAAAUAUUACUAUAUUAUCCUAUUAUUUAAAUCAUCCAAUAGCUUUCCAUUGAUUGCAGGAGGAAACUAAAUUCUCAAUGUUAUAUGCUCCGUUAGCUCUGCCACUUCCUCAGUCUGUCAGCUUCUUGAAGUGCCUUCUUGGUUUUCUCUUGUUCUCCCAGACAGACACUCUGCCAGGGUUCUCAGAGAUGCUCUGUUCCGGUUAACAACAAAUAGCAGCUACCGUGAGGCCUCACCAGUGAGCCCAGUGCCUUCCAUGGGAUCUCAUUUUUCAACCCUGUAAGCUUGGUGGCAGCAGCGGGAUUGGAAGGAGACUUCUCAUGGCUUCGGGGAUGAGAAACACAAGCAUUGGUACCCAUGAAGCCUUUGAAUUCUCCGUCUUUUUUGCUGUCUCUGAGGGCUGUGGGCCGAUGUCGGUGAGUUCUGAGGAAAUGCUGAAGGCACAGUGUGGAGGAAUUCUGGGACCCUGCAUGACUACUUGGAAGAGUGCUGUCCCCUCCACCUGAACAACCACCCGGCACUACCAGAAAUGAGAGGCGUCCUGUGAUCGUGGAUUGGAAGCCUCCUUGUUGUUAAGAUGUCAGCUUCCUCCAAAGACAUGAGCCAAUUAAAUGCAGUCCUUAUCAAAAUCCCAAUGACAUUUUGUGCUGAAAGACACCCGUCCUAAAAUUCAUAUGGAAUCUCAAGUAUGCCCAGAUGUCUAAAAUAGUCUUGAAAGGAAGUACUAAGUUGGAGGACUCUCUUUUUACUGAUGUAAAACUUGCUACAAACCUGCAAUAUCAAAACAGCAUUGUAAUGGCAUAAAGACAGACACAUAGAGCAUCGGAACAGAAUAGAGAGCCCAGAAAUAAGGUGGCCAAGGUUGUUCAACGGGGAAAAGACAGUCUUUUCAACCAGUGGUUCCUGAAAAAGUGGAUAUCUUCAUGCAAAAAAUAAACUUGGAUUCUGACCUCACACCACAUAUAAAACUUAAUUCUCAAUGGAUCAAGACCCAAAUGUAAGAACUGAAACUCUUUUAGGAAAACAUGGGACAAAACGUUUCACGAUAGGACUCGGCAAUGAUUUCAUAGAUAUGACACUCAAGGCAUGGGCAAUAAAAAACAGAGUACACACACCAAAAUUCAUGAAUAUUAAAAACCUUUCUGCCUCUGAAGACAAUAUCAACAGAGUGAAAAUACAACCCAUGCAGCAUGGGAGUCCAUAUUUGCAAAUGAUCUAUCAGACAAGGGCUGAAUAUCCAGAAUAGACAUAGAACUUCUCAACUCAACAACAAAACAAGCAACCCAAAUCAAAAAUGAGCAAAGUACUUGAAUAGACUUUUCCUCCAAGAAGAUACGCAAAUGGUCAACAAGCAUAUACAAAGAUGCUUAAUGUGAUUAAUCACUGGGGAAAUGUAAGUCAAAAUCUCAAUGAGAUACCACCUCACAUCCAUGUGACGGCACUCCAAAAAAAUAGUGAAGAAAGGCAUGCUGGCAAAGAUGUGGAGAUAUUGGACCCAUGUCCACUGUGGCUGGAAUGUAAAACGGUAUAGUUGCUGUGGAAAUCAGCAUGGCAUUUCAUUAAAACAAUUAAAAAUAGAAUCACUAAAUGACCCAACAAUUCUACUUCAGGAUAUAUACACAGCAGAGCUGAAAACUUGGUCUCAAAGACAUAUUUGAACACCCAUGUUCAUGGCAUCAUUGUUCAUGAUCGCUGAAACGUGGAACAAGCCAAGGAUCCAUCCAGGGAUGAAUGGAGAAGCAACAUGGGCAUAUAUAUAUACAAUUGCGUGUUAUUCAUCCUUAAAAACUAAGGAUAUUCUGAGAUAUGAGACAACAUGGAUGAACCUUUAGGAAAUCAUGCUAAAUGAAAUCAACCAGUCGCAAAAACACAGGCCUUGUGUGACCCCACUUAUAUGGCAUUCCUGAAAUGGCCAGAUUCAGAGAGACGGACAGCGGAUGCUGUUGGCCAGGGGUGGGAGCAGGGGAAGGGGAGUGACCGAUGAGUGGGGACGGAGCUUCAGUUCUGUGGGGUGACAAGAGUUCUGAAGAUGGAUUGUGGUGAUGGCUGCACCAGCAUACGACUGUGGCCAACACACUGAAGAUGCGCGUAAGGAGCUUAAUGUGCUUAAUGAUGUGCACACCGAAAAAUGGCCAAGAUGGGACCCCAGGAAAGAGCAGACACCAGGGAAGUGACAAGAGGCCGAGGAGAAGGCAGUCGGAGGCAGCUCUGCCAUGAACAGUAGCAUCCAUCCUCCUGGCUACAUGCCCAGAAGGCCCGAGAUGGACUGAAGAAUCCCUCAGGUUUCUAGUGAUGGAUGUUAAGUGAACUGGUGGUGUUAUUGUGCAGUCUGUGUGCAUCGAGUCCCUGUGCUGACUUCUUAAACUUACACGGCGCCCACUCAGCUCUGCUUCAGCUGCUGGAGUAGCGAAUAGCCGUGCAGAGGCCUUUCCGGCUGUCCCCCGCCUCAGAGAGAACUCACUCCUCCUGGUACUAGCGCUCCUCUCCACAGUCUGACUUGGUGAAGAGCAGGAGGAGGGGACACGAGUUUCACAAUUCUUCACUCAGCGACUGUGCACCGAGCACGCACCCUGUGCCAGGUGCUCAGGAGUUGGCUUAACCCUCAUCCUCGGAGCCACAGGCCAUUUGGCAGGAGGUACCCAAAGAACUCCACGCAGGAGAUCUUUGAAGAGUUAUGUGACGGGUUCGACUUCUCUCCCUCCCUAGUCAAGAGGCAGGAGCAGCAGGCCACCAGCAGCAUCCUGUGCCGGUCUGAGGAACCCACCCUGUCCGUGGCUGAGGCCCGCACGAUGCUGACCCUCAAGGCAGGCGCAGUGCAGAAGGUGGUAGGCUGCCUGCAACCAUCUUUCCACGGCAGAUCCAUCUCCGUCACCACCUUCCCGUGUGUGUACCAGGCCUUCUACCCGACCCCACAGGUCCUGGACCAGCUGCUCCAGAGUGCCCUCUCUCCCAUCUGGGGCCCCCGGCCUCAGGAGAACUCCCAGGAUAUGUGGCAGAUGCUGCCACUCCAGGAUCAACCUGACGUUGGCGUAUCUCCAGGACCUCUUGCCUGGCUCAGUCCUGAAGCACCAGGCCACCCCUCUUCUCAUCCAGGUGGACCUUUUCCAGGCCACUGAGUUGGAGACAGAGGCUCCUGCCCAGCUCCAGCACUUCUGCCAGGUGCAGAGCAGAAAAGGGGCCACAUCUGGAGCUGGACGGAACUCCAGUUCUAUUUCUGCCAUCACUUCUAGCGCUGGAACCGGCAGCAGCGCCCUCAGCUGCUCCAGACCCCGAGCGAGUGCAUCAGCACCCCAGCCCAAGUGCCAGGUCCUGAACUGGACUCAACGGGACCAAGGGGCUGCUGGGAUUUCCACCUCAGGCUCCAGUAACACGCAGAAUCAGCUCCGGUUCCAGAGGCUUCCCACCCCUGUCGAGUGACCGGGAAGAAGCAGCCCGAUGGGAAGCCUAGCCUCAUGGCCUUCUCCCCAAGGGACGUGGCAGAACAGCUGACGGCCAUUGACGCGGUGAGCACCCGGGCUCUCAGGCGG